AGUGAACGCUGGCGGCGUGCCUAAUACAUGCAAGUCGAACGAAGCCUUCGGGCUUAGUGGCGCACGGGUGCGUAACGCGUGGGAAUCUGCCCUUGGGUUCGGAAUAACAGUUAGAAAUGACUGCUAAUACCGGAUGAUGACGUAAGUCCAAAGAUUUAUCGCCCAAGGAUGAGCCCGCGUAGGAUUAGGUAGUUGGUGAGGUAAAGGCUCACCAAGACGACGAUCCUUAGCUGGUCUGAGAGGAUGAUCAGCCACACUGGGACUAAGACACGGCCCAGACUCCUACGGGAGGCAGCAGUGGGGAAUAUUGGACAAUGGGCGAAAGCCUGAUCCAGCAAUGCCGCGUGAGUGAUGAAGGCCUUAGGGUUGUAAAGCUCUUUUACCCGGGAUGAUAAUGACAGUACCGGGAGAAUAAGCUCCGGCUAACUCCGUGCCAGCAGCCGCCGCAG
rnacentral:rRNA from 1 species